ensembl:lncRNA
GUCAUCAUCAGUGGACUACCAUCAGCUUGGUCGACACGCGCCCAACCACCACCCCUCUCUGGACUGGAGCAACGAUUACCAUGGCAACGGCAGCGGCCUGCAGAGGGACAAACCUCUCUAUCUGAGCUAAUCUCAGGACAAGAUGACGGCAAAUCUUCCACGCCGAGGAACACACGACAAGCCUGACCCGCCACGGAGGACUCACCCACCGACACGCGAGCUACACCCGAGUUCAGCGCUCCAACCAGAAGCCUGAGCAGCAGAAGGGGACUUUUCUGCUGCAAAAAGUUUCCGGUCCCUGCAUGUCCCACGGCCGGUCGUACCGGGUUUCUGGCUCUAUUUUUUUCUACCGAUUGUCUGGACCGAUUGCUAUGCUUUGAAUUGAAGUUGUGUAUCCCAGCGCGGAGAGGCGGUGUGCUGUGAACCACGACCAUAGGUGUACAUACUCCUCACAAAGGGACGUUCUGUCUAAUAUCCUGUCCUCCCUAAACAAAUGAAACCCCUUAUCUAGUUCUUCAUUUGGUAAAGACGCCGUUUACUGUCAGCUCCAAAAAGCUCUGAGGAGCCAAGUGUAAAUUACUGUAACAUAAAGGUUUGAGCUGUCGAUUUAAAGCCAAUUGACUCAUUAUUUUCUUUUUCUUUUGAUCUGAUGUCUCCUUCUGCGACCAAAGGGAACACAGCACGCAAACAAUAAGUAACCAAAUCCUCCACAAACUGUUCUUCACUUCCUGUAAUAGACUGUGAGAUGAUGCCGGAUGGACUCAAGUCCCACACGCACUGAACUCGCAGCGCUUUAAUUGUGUGCGAUUUAAGAGCUUUCAUUGUUCUCGCAGCGACGCUACAAAUUCAUUGUAUUUUAGUCCUUGAGACAACGAAAUGUCAAACAAUUCUUUGUUGGGGGGAGAAAAGAAACGAAAAUAGUCCUUUGGCCGCUGACAGCUCCUCCUCCCGGCAUAUGUCCGUUGGUGAUAUUGAUUCGGAUCCAAACUGCGUGCGAGUGUGUGAGUGAAGUGUUAAUGAGAAGGUUGGUUGGGGCGCACGGUCUCUAUGUCAUCUCUAUUUCUCUGUGCACAGAGGCUAUUUAAUAAGAAACUAUAACUGUUGCUGGGUUGGCUGUGUUUUAUUGUUGUUUUUAUAAUCAAAUACAAGUUUUGUUUUAGUGUUAAUGAUGAUGAGGGACGCAUUUCUCUCUCUGCUCUGUAUCUCUUUGUAUUAAUGUGUUUUUUUUGGCAGAUGAAAGGACUCUGGGCAACAACAACCAUGAAGAUUUUCUUAUUUUUAGAUUCUAAUAAUGUGUUUGAGAAUAAAGUCAGCGCUGCA